AGCGCAGCUUACCAUGCAGUCGAGCGGAACGACUUCUCUGAACCUUCGGGGAACGUUAAGGGCGUCGUAGCGGCGGACGGGUGAGUAAUGCCUAGGAAAUUCGCCUUGAUGUGGGGGAUAACCAUUGGAAACGAUGGCUAAUACCGCAUAAUGCCUACGGGCCAAAGAGGGGGACCUUCGGGCCUCUCGCGUCAAGAUAUGCCUAGGUGGGAUUAGCUAGUUGGUGAGGUAAUGGCUCACCAAGGCGACGAUCCCUAGCUGGUCUGAGAGGAUGAUCAGCCACACUGGAACUGAGACACGGUCCAGACUCCUACGGGAGGCAGCAGUGGGGAAUAUUGCACAAUGGGCGAAAGCCUGAUGCAGCCAUGCCGCGUGUAUGAAGAAGGCCUUCGGGUUGUAAAGUACUUUCAGUUGUGAGGAAGGGGGUGUCGUUAAUAGCGGCAUCUCUUGACGUUAGCAACAGAAGAAGCACCGGCUAACUCCGUGCCAGCAGCCGCGGUAAUACGGAGGGUGCGAGCGUUAAUCGGAAUUACUGGGCGUAAAGCGCAUGCAGGUGGUUCAUUAAGUCAGAUGUGAAAGCCCGGGGCUCAACCUCGGAACUGCAUUUGAAACUGGUGAACUAGAGUACUGUAGAGGGGGGUAGAAUUUCAGGUGUAGCGGUGAAAUGCGUAGAGAUCUGAACGGAAUAACAGUGAGCUGAUAAGCGGCCCACAGCACAUGAUACUGAUCACUCAGAUGAGAUAUAGACGUGGGAGCAGACAGAACCUGAUUACAUACCUGUAGUCACCCCUAAUCGAUACGUCUAUCUACUAGAAGUUGUUGCCUCGAGCGUCGCUUUCGGAGCUAAUCCGCGCUUAGUAAUACGCCUGUAGAGGGGAGUGCGGCGGGUAGUAUAUCACAUAAAUGUUUAGGCGGGUGCCUGCAUCGAGGUGCGCGCAUUUUCUUUUAAUACAUCUCGCGGUAAGAUUUUUACUGUCUCCGGACAUACAGAGAAACGGGGGAGACAUGGGUUUCUUCAGCGGGAGAGUCUCAUAGGAUGAUGCUGCAUGCCGUCCCCCCACUUGAAAAGAAAAAAAAAAACGAAAAGGCUAUCAUCUAACGCGCCCCAUGGCCUUAUGAGACAGGAACUUAUGGCAAGAUAAUUAGGAAAAUCUCCCUGUUAUAAGAGGGGAGGAAGGUGGGGGAGACCAAGUCGUCUCAUCCCCUUUGAGUAUAGGUUCGCACGCGUUACACAGUGGCAUACACAGAGCGCGGAAAUUUUGAGAGUGAGAGAGUAUCAAAAAAAGUGUGUUAUUGCGGGGAGGAGUGUGCACAUCGAGUCCACGAAGUGUGGGUAUCUAUUAUUAUUAGAUCUCAAAAUUACGCGGAAUACGUUUUCGGGCCCCGUGCACACCGCCCGUCUCACCACAGGAGAGGGGUGCACAAGAGAAGUGUAUAGUAUACUUUGGGGAGGACGCUCACCACUUUGUCCU
rnacentral:rRNA from 1 species